CACGUAGGGUGCGAGCGUUGUCCGGAAUUAUUGGGCGUAAAGAGCUCGUAGGCGGUGUGUCGCGUCGGCCGUGAAAACCUGGGGCUUAACUCUGGGCUUGCGGUCGAUACGGGCAUCACUGGAGUUCGGCAGGGGAGGCUGGAAUUCCUGGUGUAGCGGUGAAAUGCGCAGAUAUCAGGAGGAACACCGGUGGCGAAGGCGGGUCUCUGGGCCGAUACUGACGCUGAGGAGCGAAAGCGUGGGGAGCGAACAGG
rnacentral:rRNA from 1 species